AUUUAUCCAAAACUACUCUGUACACCCCAGAUGUGCAGUUAAUGCCAAUUAAUCUGCUGCAGCAGACGUCUUUAUUCCAUUUGCAAAAAACUUCCUAUCAACAACAGGCCAAUGAGUUGGCGUUUCAGCCCAUCAUUCAGCCAGUCAGCCAAGCGGAUGGUUUUCCUUCAGCGUACGCUCCUCAAAUAGCCCAGGAAAAUCUACCAUGCACGCUGAACAAGAAACCUCUGGCCUUGACAUAUGGAGUGUGCAUCGAAAGCCCAAGAUGCAUCAACAGGAGGAAUUCUCAGCCAGACCAGAUGCUGCAGGAUAUUUCUCCUGAAAGGUUUGUCAGUGGCAAACUUAAAACCAAGACACCAGGCGAAAGGUACUGUGAUGAGAACUACAAGGAGCAGAGGCCGAAGCUGGUAGAGAGAGGAUUAUGGGAAAGCCGUGACACUGACUUGACAGGAUCGGUGUUCUCCAUGGGGCCAGCGCAGCAGCUGAUGCUCCAGACAGACUGUGAGGAAGCUAAGCUGUACAUGCCCCAGCAGUCACUGUCUCUGCUGCAGGAAGGAGGAAACUACAGAUGGCAGAUGGCAGGGUUGCUGCCAUUGCUGUCCUCGCUGACAGUUGACACAAACUCUGUCUCAGAGGAUGGACUUCCUCCAUCAUCAUCCUCCCCCUUACUAAAGUCAGUCUGUACCUGCGAUGACCUCCCCGGGGAAUGCAGCACAGGCCAGUUGAUGUCAUUAGAUUCAUUGUCAUAUCCUGAAAACAAACAGAAGCCUCCGGACUUUCAAACAACAGAUGUGCUACCGGCAGCAAGGGAGCCAGGCUGCCUAGAACUAAACGCCAUUGCACCCCAUGCCUCUAGCUCCAUCCAGAACACUGACAUGCUUUUCACUAUGUUGUUCAGAGACUUGGAUUUAAAGGUACAGUGGGAGCAUGGCCAGAAUGAAAACACACUGAUGUGUUAGCACAGCAUUGAAUGAUCUCUAAGGGCCGGAUUCUGCCAACCUUUACUCACA
rnacentral:lncRNA from 1 species